AGUUAAAAUUUUUAUUCUUUUUUACUAUUAAAAUUUGAUUGUGACUGAUAAAAUAAUCAGAUAGUUAUAUAUGGCGUGCCAUGUGUAUAUUAUGUCGACGUAUAAAGAUCAAUUUUUAACCGUAGAAAUAGAUGGAAUUUUUAAUA
rfam:Gossypium hirsutum cultivar TM-1 chromosome 9, whole genome shotgun sequence